AAUUGUAGGAAAACCACCACCAAAGGUCUCAGAUACCCGCAGCAUCAAAGUGGCUGAUAUGCAGAAGAAUAUCAAAAUGCUAAAGAUCAUAAAGCUCGGUUGAAGUGACAACCAGAGGAAAAGCCCACAAACAAGUACAGUAUGAUGAGAUGCUGGGAAGAGAAAAACUGCAAAAGGUUAAACAGUCACCUAAGAUUACUGGUGACAGAUGCCUGCUAACAAGGGGGGAAGCAACAUUUAGGAGAUUCUUUGGAG